UUAAUAAGCAUUUCAAAACUUACCAUUGACAAUAACAUUUCUGUUGAAUUUCUUGGAUCAUUUUGUAUUGUGAAGGAUUUGCUGAAGGGACAAGUUCUAAUGCAGGGCAUUGCUGAGAAAGGGUUGUAUAAACUGCUGGUUAAACCUAUGUCUUCUACCAAGAAUUCUCCUCUGUUUCAUAGUCAAGCUAAUAAACCUCUGUCAAUGUUAUCAUUCUGUCAUCUUGCUUCUCAUAUGCCAUCUGUAAAGUACAUAAAUAAUUCAAACAAUUGUUUACAGAAUGGUUUUGAUGUAUGUUCUGAUAAGCCUAAUAAAAUAGCUCUUCUACACAGAAGAUUUGGCCACCCAAAUUCUCAAAGCUUAUUGCAUUUACUUAAACUCCAUCAUGCUAAUAAGUUUUCUCUGAAUAUGGUCAAGCAGCAACACAACAUUUCUGUGAAGCAUGUCAGUUGGGUAAGAUACACAAGUUGCAUUUCCCAGUUACAGAAAUCAAAACCAAAUCAGCUCUUGAGCUCAUACACACUGAUCUUUGGGGUCCCUCACCAGUUAUUUCAAGAGAAGGUUUUAGAUAUUAUAUUAGUUUUGUUGAUGAUUUCACUAGAUAUACUUGGAUCUACCCAUUGAAAUUGAAAUCAGAAGCUUUAGAGGUUUUUAAGCUAUACAAGUUACAAGUUGAAAACCAAUUCCAAACAACCAUUAAGAUACUGCAAUCUGACUGGGGGGGAGAAUACAGAUCAUUCACUGAAUUUUUAAAUCAGUGUGGCAUUUUAUUUAGGCACUCUUGUCCUCAUACUCAUCAUCAGAAUGGCUUAGUUGAGAGAAAACAUAGACAAGUGGUAGAAUUGGGUCUUACAUUGUUAGCUCAAGCCAAACUUCCUUUGCAUUUUUGGUGGGAUUCUUUCCAUGCUUCAGUUUAUCAUAUCAAUAGGUUACCAACUUCAGCUCUUAAAAUGUUGACACCAUAUGAAAAACUUUUCAAACAUAAAGCUGAUUAUAAGAUGCUGAAAUGUUUUGGUUGUGCUUGCUAUCCAUAUUUGAGAGAUUACAAUAAGCAUAAAUUUGAUUUUCACACAAGUAAAUGCAUAUUUAUUGGUUAUAGUCCUGCUCACAAAGGAUAUAAAUGCCUUCAUCAUUCUGGUCGUGUAUACAUAGCAAGGCAUGUCAUAUUUGAUGAAAAUGCAUUUCCUUUUUCUUCAGAUCCUGCUUUCAAUUCUGAGAACAAAACACAAUCAAUAUCCAGCUCUGCUUUGUCCCCUCAUCAAGUUUUC
rnacentral:lncRNA from 1 species